rnacentral:rRNA from 1 species
UGGGGAAUAUUGGACAAUGGGGGCAACCCUGAUCCAGCAAUGCCGCGUGUGUGAAGAAGGUCUUCGGAUUGUAAAGCACUUUCGACGGGGACGAUGAUGACGGUACCCGUAGAAGAAGCCCCGGCAACUUCGUGCCAG